rnacentral:rRNA from 1 species
UACAGAGGUCUCAAGCGUUGUUCGGAUUUAUUGGGCGUAAAGAGCGUGUAGGCGGUUCGGUAAGUCUGUCGUGAAAUCCUGAGGCUCAACCUCGGGCGUGCGAUGGAUACCGCCGGGCUAGAGGAUGGUAGAGGCGAGUGGAAUUCCCGGUGUAGCGGUGAAAUGCGCAGAUAUCGGGAGGAACACCAGUAGCGAAGGCGGCUCGCUGGGCCAUUCCUGACGCUGAGACGCGAAAGCUAGGGGAGCGAACAGG